rnacentral:ncRNA from 2 species
ACGACGGUGACCGGUCAAGGUUCCCGCCAUCUCCGGAUGGCGGGCCAAGAGGGAAUCCGGUGCGGCGCGUCCUCGCGCCCAGGCCGGAGCUGUCCCCGCAACUGUAAGCGGCGAGCCAUCCGUCGAUCGGGGUCACUGGUGCGCGAGCGCCGGGAAGGCCGGACGGAUGGCGGCGACCCGCGAGCCAGGAGACCUGCCCUGACCCUGUUUCGUCU